UACGGGGGGGGCAAGCGUUGUUCGGAAUUACUGGGCGUAAAGGGCUCGUAGGUGGCCAACUAAGUCAGACGUGAAAUCCCUCGGCUUAACCGGGGAACUGCGUCUGAUACUGGAUGGCUUGAGUUCGGGAGAGGGAUGCGGAAUUCCAGGUGUAGCGGUGAAAUGCGUAGAUAUCGGGAGGAACACCUGUGGCGAAAGCGGCGCACUGGACCACAACUGACGCUGAGGCGCGAAAGCCAGGGGAGCGAACGGG
rnacentral:rRNA from 1 species